rnacentral:lncRNA from 10 species
GUGCCUUUUGCCUUCGAUCAUGAUUGUGAGGCUUCCCCAGCCACAUGGAACUCAGUUGAUUCAGAAUGUGAACUAUAAGGCGGCAAGUGAAUCAGUUUGGGAACCAGAAGUUCUUGAUUUAUGUCCCAGCACUUUCUGCUGAAGAUAUGACCCAUGGUGAAAGGAGUACAGCACAGUUUAUUAAGCGUGGGCGGCUUUGUAAGCAGUGGAAAUACAUUCAAAUAGGCAGCUUCUGAAAAGCCACUCUGCCCUAAGAAGUCAGCCUACAUAAUUGAAGACAAGUGAUGUAAAUAAUUUG